GGUCGGUCUUGUGAUGCUUAUGUUGUUUGCUAUCUAUUUUGCCUAAUAUGGUUCUUUAAUAAGUCAAGGGAGCCUUUUUCUCUCUCGGUUUUAGUAUAUAUAUAUAUAUAUUAUGGUCAAGAACGUUCGGUCAUAAACCAAGCGUUCGGUCAUAUAAGUGUUCGGUCUUAGACUGACACCUAAGUGAUGAAGCGUUCGGUUUAACAUUUGUAUUAUUC
rnacentral:lncRNA from 1 species